rnacentral:rRNA from 1 species
AUGGCCGAACAACCCGACUGGCUGAAGCUCCCGUCGGACCUCCUGGAACCCAUCGGCCGGAGGACGCGCGAUGCCGUCAUGGGAGUCGCCAUCUUCCGCUCCGUCUGCCGGGCGUGGCGCGCUGCCGUGAGACCAACGCCGCGCCUCCUGCUUCCCGCCGCCCAGGACAGCGCCGCUCCUCGCGGCGGCUCGGAGUACGCGCUCGUCUACCCCUUGUCACGUGGCUGGUCCAUCGUCGUCGAUACCCGCGACGUCUCCUGUCACCUCAAGCACCUGCCCACGGCCGCUACGGCCGCGCUGCCCAAUCUCAACGCCGUCCGUGACAGCAGCGCCACGUCCGAGAUCACGCAUCUGGGUUAUGAGCACGCUCCCGAUCGUGAAGAACCCAAACUCAGCGCCGUUCAUGACGGCAGCGCCGCGUCCGAGGUCACGUAUCUGGGUUACGAGCAGGCCCCUGAUCAUGAAGAGCCCAAUCUCAACGCCGUUCAUGACGGCAGCGCCCCGUCCGAGGUCACGCAUCUGGGUGACGAGCACGCUCCCGAUCAUGAAGAGGCGCCUACAGACAUGGGUGAUGGUGUGCACGAAGAUGACUGGUAUCGGACGUUCAAGAUCAAGAUGACUGCCUUAGACCCUGUUACUUUGUUCUUGAAAACGUACCUCGAAUUAUCACACUACUUCACAUUUGCCGCCCAUGUACCGCCUACUACCCCGGCAGCGAGCACGGACGGGGUGGUGAUCAUGGCGUACCACGCUGUGCAUGGACAUACGGGGAUGGUUUUCUGCCGACCAGGAGACGCGGCCUGGACGAAGGUAGCUAACCCCAAUUCAGAAUACGUAGCCUUCGCUGACUUUGCCUACUCCGAGUCCGAGGGCAAGAUGCUCGCCUUGGACAACAAAGGCGUCACGGUGGUGUUCGAUGCCGAGACACUCGAGGUCCUCUACCAGGUCGACCUGCCGCCGGCGACCUCGAACUUUAGGUACAAGCAUUCCGGCGGCGAUGCUACGGAUGAAUUCAGUUGCCUCCGCCUUGUUGCAGUGCCGAGCAAGGUGCUUUUGGUCAAAAUAUGCAUCAAGUCCUCUAGGCCGGAGGGGUUCCAAAUCUUUGAGUUAUCGUCCGGGUCAGAGAAAGGUGACGGACGGCCGGUCUGGCGCAAGGUGGCCGGCGGCGACAUCGGUGGCGACCACGAGCUAUUCCUUGAUGGCUACCAUGCCACCUUUGGCGACGAUCGUGACGGCGGUGGGACACGGAUUUAUUAUUUUCAUGAUGAUUACUCGUCUGCAGUAACUAGUUGCGCUGCGGCGUACUGCUACAUUAUGAAGAGCGCGUGUACAUGCCAUCUCGGGAGAACGGUGACAUAUAUACAACUAGGCCUAGUUGGUUUGUCCCCAUAA